rnacentral:rRNA from 1 species
CCUACGGGGGACAGCAGUGAGGAAUAUUGGUCAAUGGCCGGGAGGCUGAACCAGCCAAGUCGCGUGAGGGAAGACGGCCCUACGGGUUGUAAACCUCUUUUGUCAGGGAGCAAGGUGCAGGUCGGGACCUGCUGUGAGAGUACCUGACGAAUAAGCUCCGGCUAACUACGUGCCAGCAGCCGCGGUAAUACGUAGGGAGCGAGCGUUAUCCGGAAUUAUUGGGCGAAAAGGGUGCGUAGAUGGCAUAGUAAGUCUGUUGUAAAAAUGCUGGGCUCAACCCAGUAGGGCAAAAGAUACUGCAAAGCUAGAGUAUGACAGAGGCAAGUGGAACUACAUGUGUAGCGGUAAAAUGCGUAAAUAUAUGUAAGAACACCAGUGGCGAAGGCGGCUUGCUGGGUCGAGACUGACAUUGAGGCACGAAAGCGUGGGGAGCAAACAGGAUUAGAUACCCGGGUAGUC